GCAUUGGUGGUUCAGUGGUAGAAUUCUCACCUUCCUUGUGGAAGACCCAGGUUCAAUUCUGGUCAACGCA
rnacentral:tRNA from 1 species